GUUUCUGUAGUGUAGUGGUUUAUCACGUUCGCUUAACACGCGAAAGGUCCCUGGUUCGAGACCGGGUGGAAACA